rnacentral:rRNA from 1 species
UACGGAGGGUGCAAGCGUUAUCCGGAUUCACUGGGUUUAAAGGGUGCGUAGGUGGGUUGGUAAGUCAGUGGUGAAAUCCCCGAGCUUAACUUGGGAACUGCCAUUGAUACUAUCAGUCUUGAAUACCGUGGAGGUCGGCGGAAUAUGUCAUGUAGCGGUGAAAUGCUUAGAUAUGACAUAGAACACCGAUAGCGAAGGCAGCUUACUACAGGAUGAUUGACGCUGAGGCACGAAAGCGUGGGGAGCAAACAGG